UACGAAGGGGGCUAGCGUUGUUCGGAGUCACUGGGCGUAAAGGGCGCGUAGGCGGCUGUUCAAGUCGGGGGUGAAAGCCUGUGGCUCAACCACAGAAUUGCCUUCGAUACUGGACGGCUGGAGACCGGAAGAGGUCAGUGGAACUGCGAGUGUAGAGGUGAAAUUCGUAGAUAUUCGCAAGAACACCAGUGGCGAAGGCGGCUGACUGGUCCGGUUCUGACGCUGAGGCGCGAAAGCGUGGGGAGCAAACAGG
rnacentral:rRNA from 1 species